rnacentral:misc_RNA from 1 species
UAAUUUAGGUACAACGGAAAAGUGAUGCCUCCGCGCAAGGUAGACGCGCAAGUCAGCGUGGUGGAAAAGAUCGUCGAGCGACCGUCCGUUCUCGACGUGACGUUGGCGAAGAUCGAUGUGAACCAGUACGACGCUGCUUACCCUUUCCGGCUUAGGGUCGUUCUCUGUGGGAAGAAAAAGCGCACCUCGCUUGAUGAGACCUGGGAGAAGCUGGCUGCGGAGAUAAAGCUACAGUGCGACAAAGCGAAUCCUUUCUUCGAUGCCUCUCAGAACAGCCAGCUUGGGUCUUUGAUCAUGGACUACGGAGAGUAUUUUAUGCAAAUUGUCGAAGGUCCAGAAGGCUACGUUUUCCGCUUUGCAGAGGAGAUGAAGUCAGUGCCGCUCGUCGAUACAAACAGCGUGCGCAUUCUGUUUCUCGACGACGAUGUCCCCACCACUAUUUGCGUCGGAAUCACCCUGAUAGACAAAGUGCCACCCUCAUCUUUGGUGAUCAGCUCAGCGGAGAAGAGCACGGAAGAAGUUACGCAAGGAGUUGCACACGACUUGUCAUCUAUUCUAGAACUUGCUUCUCAGGGUAACAGCCAGAUGGGAAGGAUGAAGAGCGUGUUUGCUGAGAACGCCAAGGUGAACUACCCAAAGCUGUUCCCCAAAGUGGAAAUGCUUGAGGCGUAUAUUAAUAGCGACAGCUUUUUCACUCUUGACGAGUUUGUGGACAAUUUCUGCAAACCUGCGCAUCUGGCCCGCGAUGAGGAAAUCAAUCACCCCGCGGCAGACCCGCUGAAGCACUGAUGUAAAAACAGCGCGCACUGGCGCUGUCAUGCUUUUGAUGUACGGAGACGAAGUGAAAGUCAGACGCCUGUUUGGAUUCUUUAUCAAGUCGUGGAGAUUACCAUUGUGACGGUAAAAUGAACCCGUGCGGUUUACGCAAACAGGCAAACACAAACGCAUGAGCUAGGCUUGGGAACAGAUAAAAAUGUCACUAGGCCGACAAAGAGGGCGAAGAUCGCAGCUAAGUCCCAUGCGAAAAGGUAUAAUAUGCCAUGAUCGCAUUGGCGUUUCCUCGGCCUCUAACGACAUCUUUCUUUCUACCCGUUUUUGUGAUGGAUCACCGAUACUCUGCUUUCCCAG